rnacentral:rRNA from 1 species
GUCGACCUCAGUCGGGCGAGAUCACCCG